UAUAAUGACCAAUAAUAAACAAAAAAUUGAUUUUUUGCUGUUUUUUGAUGUUACAAGUAACUACCUGUUUUUCUGUAUUACAAAAAUCUGAUUUGGACAGAGACAAAAGAUCAAAUGUUCUUUUUUCUACUUGAUCUUACACAGGUCAAGAUGUCAGUGGUCUCCAUAAUUCCUCUUCCAGCAAAAACUCGAACGACUUGCUUCCUGGCAGAUGUUCUGCUACAGAUUUGAGUGACGGACAGCAUGACCAGAAGACAGGUCCGCUUCCUGAGCCGAUUUGGACGUGUUUGAGAGACUUUAUGGACUUCAACGGAUUUUAAGGACACUCUUUCAUGACAGGCAGUGCAACGAGCUCUCACAGCGUUAGCCUGGCGUGAUCUUGGUGUGAACUUGGGGUGUGUGUAAAGAUGAAAUCACUCCAAGGAUUGUGAAGAAUAAACGCCAGUUUCAAAAGAAUUACCUGCAUCUGUGGUCAAGAAGAGAGUUACAGUCAGAUAAUUCAGAUCCAUAGUAUCCCCUCACUGUUAUGGAAGUGACACGCUGUUAUAUGUCUCCCCUUCAAACUGACAACCAUUAUUAGCGAGGACAAUCUCUUUUAAAUCUGAGUUAUUGGUCCCAACAUCUCUGGUAGCUUGACCAAAUAGAUGAAGCAAUCUGAAAGAAAUCUCAAAGUUGUAUUUCUUUUUUGAUGCUCAAGUAAAGAAUGCUGUCCAAUCUUACUUCUGUCCACUGAAAUGAACACCAAGUUUAAAAUGUACGUGUAUGCCACUAGUUUGCCCCGAUUAUGCAUUAAAGUUUGUGUUUUUUUUUUUUUAUAGAAACAUUUUUAAAUCACUGAAUGACAUUUCUCCAAAUAAGGACCUUUUAACCCUUUGUGUCCCAAGACUUUCUCUCAGAUCAGUAAAUGGAGCUGUGAUAGUAAUUCCUUGGUUUUAGCUUGUGAACAAAUAUUAUCUAAACUUUAUCAUUAGAAUAUAGUAUAACGUUUACC